UACAGAGGUCCCGAGCGUUGUUCGGAUUCACUGGGCGUAAAGCGCACGUAGGCGGCUUUCUAAGUCAGGGGUGAAAUCCUGGAGCUCAACUCCAGAACUGCCUUUGAUACUGGAGAGCUUGAGUCCGGGAGAGGUGAGUGGAACUCCGAGUGUAGAGGUGAAAUUCGUAGAUAUUCGGAAGAACACCAGUGGCGAAGGCGGCUCACUGGCCCGGUACUGACGCUGAGGUGCGAAAGCGUGGGGAGCAAACAGG
rnacentral:rRNA from 1 species